CGGACGGGUGAGURASACGUGBGCAACCUGCCUGUAAGACUGGGAUAACUCCGGGAAACCGGAGCUAAUACCGGAUAGUAUCUUGAACCGCAUGGKUCAAGUUGGAAAGACGGUUUCGGCUGUSACUKACAGAUGGGCCCGCGGCGCAUUAGCUAGUUGGUGAGGUAAUNGCUCACCAAGGCAACGAUGCGUAGCCGACCUGAGAGGGUGAUCGGCCACACUGGGACUGAGACACGGCCCAGACUCUACGGGAGGCAGCAGUAGGGAAUCUUCCGCAAUGGACGAAAGUCUGACGGAGCAACGCCGCGUGAGUGAUGAAGGUUUUCGGAUCGUAAAACUCUGUUGUUAGGGAAGAACAAGUGCGAGAGUAACUGCUCGCACCUUGACGGUACCUAACCAGAAAGCCACGGCUAACUACGUGCCAGCAGCCGCGGUAAUACGUAGGUGGCAAGCGUUGUCCGGAAUUAUUGGGCGUAAAGCGCGCGCAGGCGGUUUCUUAAGUCUGAUGUGAAAGCCCCCGGCUCAACCGGGGAGGGUCAUUGGAAACUGGGAAACUUGAGUGCAGAAGAGGAGAGUGGAAUUCCACGUGUAGCGGUGAAAUGCGUAGASAUGUGGAGGAACACCAGUGCGAAGCGACU
rnacentral:rRNA from 1 species